rnacentral:rRNA from 1 species
GAUGAACGCUGGCGGCGUGCCUAAUACAUGCAAGUCGAGCGAACAGACGAGGAGCUUGCUCCUCUGACGUUAGCGGCGGACGGGUGAGUAACACGUGGAUAACUUACCUAUAAGACUGGGAUAACUUCGGGAAACCGGAGCUAAUACCGGAUAAUAUAUUGAACCGCAUGGUUCAAUAGUGAAAGACGGUUUUGCUGUCACUUAUAGAUGGAUCCGCGCCGCAUUAGCUAGUGGGUAAGGUAACGGCUUACAAAGGCAACGAUGCGUAGCCGACCUGAGAGGGUGAUCGGCCACACUGGAACUGAGACACGGUCCAGACUCCUACGGGAGGCAGCAGUAGGGAAUCUUCCGCAAUGGGCGAAAGCCUGACGGAGCAACGCCGCGUGAGUGAUGAAGGUCUUCGGAUCGUAAAACUCUGUUAUUAGGGAAGAACAAAUGUGUAAGUAACUAUGCACGUCUUGACGGUACCUAAUCAGAAAGCCACGGCUAACUACGUG